rnacentral:rRNA from 1 species
CCUACGGGAGGCAGCAGUGAGGAAUAUUGGUCAAUGGGCGCGAGCCUGAACCAGCCAAGUAGCGUGAAGGAAGACUGCCCUACGGGUUGUAAACCUCUUUUAUAAAGGAAUAAAGUGAGGCACGUGUGCCUUUUUGUAUGUACUUUAUGAACAAGGAUCGGCUAACUUCGUGCCAGCAGCCGCGGUAAUACGGAGGAUUCGAGCGUUAUCCGGAUUUAUUGGGUUUAAAGGGAGCGGAGAUGGGUGGUUAAGUCAGGUGUGAAAGUUUGCGGCUCAACCGUAAAAUUGCAAUUGAUACUGGAAGCCUUGAGUACAGUAGAGGUAUGCGGAAUGCGUGGUGUAGCGGUGAAAUGCUUAGAUAUCACGAAGAACUCCGAUUGCGAAGGCAGCUUACUGGACAGCCACUGACGUUGAUGCGCGAAAGUGUGGGUAUCAAACAGGAUUAGAUACCCUAGUAGUC